rnacentral:rRNA from 1 species
CCUACGGGAGGCAGCAGUGGGGAAUUUUGGACAAUGGGCGCAAGCCUGAUCCAGCAAUGCCGCGUGAGUGAAGAAGGCCUUCGGGUUGUAAAGCUCUUUUGUCAGGGAAGAAAAGGCUAUGGAUAAUACCUGUGGCUCAUGACGGUACCUGAAGAAUAAGCACCGGCUAACUACGUGCCAGCAGCCGCGGUAAU